UAUAUUGAACUCUUAGCGGGUUAUGGGAGACUCACCAUUACCAAGCCCACCUCACGAUGAUACGAUAUUGGUUAGCAAAAAUAAUGAUGAGAGAAUAACGCAUUAUUCAUUUACAACUUUUGUAAUUUCCCAUCCGUUUGGCCUCUAGAGAAUGUUGCCUCACGAUGAUACGAUAUCGGCUCCAUUGCACUUAGUUAAGUUAUUCCCACCAUGCUUAGUUUGUGAAGGGGUUCAAGAAUAGCCUCACAAUGAUAUGAUAUCGGCUAUCCUCGUUGCCUACACUCACCUCAUCAUAUGUAUAUGGAUUCCUCCUGGAUGUAAGCACAUGCUUUGUACUCCCCCAUGAUAGGGUGAAGCCGGUGCAUGAGUCACAAACGCUUGGAGCCCACCACGGUGGAAGGCCUACGAAGAGAUGUUCAAAACAUCUCUCGCUUAUCAACUUAAUAUUUGUUUUGAGGGAGUUGUUUUGGGCUACAUCAAAACAUUUUAAUCACAUUAAAAGAACUUGGGCCUAUCACAACUAUUGGUCCAAGUCAAUAUGAAUUAGUAGCAUAUAAUACUCCCACUGUUUCGUUGAAACAAGCGAGACUAUAUGGAACUACUAACGAAUGCAUUGCAUCCUCAUAUGGACUAUAUAGUCAUAUUAGGUUUUAGGAUGAUUAUGAACCGAUUGAUUUGAUCCAACACGAGCCUUGUGUUGGACCUUGGGUUUAAGGUAGAUAGUUGUUGAUUUUAGUUACGCGUUUAAUCUAAUUAAACCGUUAUUUCCUAUUGGGCGUUGGACCCAACUAUUCCAUUUUGCAUACAUAUAAACAAAAAGGAAUACAUGAAAUAAUAAUAAGGGCUUAUGCCCUUUUACAACAUAAAUCAAAUGAUGGACUUAUGUCCAUUUACAACAAAUUGAAUUAAUCAAAUUACAUUCAAAUCUACACUACUAAAACCCAAACAUUCAUAAUGUAUAUCGGCCAAUCACAUAGCUCAAUUAUCGUGGCCUUUGGUCCAUAAUCACCCUUUUCUUAAUCAAUCAUAUUAACUAAGAAAACAACUUUAAACAAUUGGUUUUUGGAUCCAUAGAAUUGAUUUAAAUGGAACUAAAUAGAAUGAAAAUCCAAUUCUCAUUAAAGAGACAAAACAAUUUUUGUUCUCAUUUUAUUUGGGCCAAAAGGAAACUAUGACCACAACAUUUGGGCCAUAAUGCAAAUACAAAAACUUUUGGGGUCACUUUGAAAAAACACGAAAGUCCACAACUUCAUGUAAUUUCAACUAGAACCCAAAAUUUCAUUAAUGUAAAAACGUCAUUAAAGGAUCAAAACAAUUUGUCCUUUAGCGUUUUAGGGCCUUAACGUAAAAACGUAAACUUUUGGGCCAAAGUGCAAAUACACAAAAGUAUCAAAACUUUAUGUAAUUGCAUAAAAGACCCCAAAAGUACCCCCACUAGGGGGUGGCCGGUUUUUAGAGGUGUGUGAACAAGUGUGAAAGGGUUUUAGUGCAUGCAUGUGCAAUAUGCAAGUUGAUUUUGGUGGGUGAUGUGAAAUUGAUGGUUUGUAAGAAAAUGUUUUGUAAAACAUUUAUGAGUUUUGACAAACAUUAAAUCCAAUUUUAAUGCUUCACCAAUAUCCAUCACCCAUCAAAAUUAAACCAAAACUUUAUGAAAAACAUAAAACUUUUGAAUCAAAACUUCAAACCUUUUUGUUCUUGGCAAGAACUUCAAGAACAUUUGAAGAACACCAUGAAAACUCAUAAUAGCCCCAUGGAUGUUUUCAUUCACCAAAACUCAAUUUUUCACCUCUCAAAAGAGGGCUAAUAUCCUAGGGUACUUAGGG
rnacentral:lncRNA from 1 species